GUUGAAUCCAGAUUUAUUUUGUAUCUCUUUUCUAAUUUAUCGCAAUCAUGAUCAUCGAAGAAUAAUGAUAGUAAUACAAACCCAACAGUGGUGCUAAAGUUUAACUUGGACCAUUUGUAAAUACUUGGUUGAAGUGAUUAAGGCGCCUAUCGUUUUGGAUACUCUGUAUAUCUAUUUAGCUCACGAGUAUGCUGGUAAAUCAUCCGGAACUCUGUUAAGUGGAAGAAAGUUAGUUGAUGCUUCCAAAAAGCUAAGGAUUUGGUGUGUAAAUGAGAAGACUUGGAUGACCAAGUGAUGUUGAAAAUGACAAGUGAGCAGGUCUGGAAGGAUGGUCUUGUAGAGGUUUGCAUAUUGCAGAUGGCUUUUGGUGGUGUUAAUUUGAUGUGUAGCAUUUACAUAUUUAGAAUAGAUUGGAUGUUGAAUUGUUGUAUAGGAUAGAUUUUGUUUGGUUAUUGAGUUGGAUUGUAAAUGGUGGUAUUGUCCACCAUGGAUGUGGUGAGCAGUUUGUAACAAGUGUUU